rnacentral:miRNA from 1 species
UUAACAUUUGUUAACUUUGCUGAC